rnacentral:rRNA from 1 species
UACGAAGGGGGGCUAGCGUUGCUCGGAAUGACUGGGCGUAAAGGGCGCGUAGGCGGAUGGCACAGUCAGAUGUGAAAUUCCCCGGGCUUAACCUGGGGGGCUGCAUUUGAUACGUGUUGUCUUGAGUUCGGAAGAGGGUCGUGGAAUUCCCAGUGUAGAGGUGAAAUUCGUAGAUAUUGGGAAGAACACCGGCGGCGAGGACGGCGGCCUGG